rnacentral:miRNA from 1 species
UCAUUAAUGUGGUGGUGGUGGUGAUGAUGAUUAUGAUGAUGAUGAUGAUGAUGAUUAACGUCGUGGUCGUAAUCAUCCUUUUCGACACCACCAAAC